ACCGGUGCGGCAUGCUAUACUGGCAGUCGAGCGAAUGGAUUAAGAGCUUGCUCUUAUGAAGUUAGCGGCGGACGGGUGAGUAACACGUGGGUAACCUGCCCAUAAGACUGGGAUAACUCCGGGAAACCGGGGCUAAUACCGGAUAACAUUUUGAACCGCAUGGUUCGAAAUUGAAAGGCGGCUUCGGCUGUCACUUAUGGAUGGACCCGCGUCGCAUUAGCUAGUUGGUGAGGUAACGGCUCACCAAGGCAACGAUGCGUAGCCGACCUGAGAGGGUGAUCGGCCACACUGGGACUGAGACACGGCCCAGACUCCUACGGGAGGCAGCAGUAGGGAAUCUUCCGCAAUGGACGAAAGUCUGACGGAGCAACGCCGCGUGAGUGAUGAAGGCUUUCGGGUC
rnacentral:rRNA from 1 species